rnacentral:lncRNA from 1 species
CCGGGAUCUCAGGGGAAGGUGUCAUGGGUCCGGGAUCUGGAGGCCAGGGGAAGGUGUCAUGGGUCCUGGAGAAGGUGUCAUGGGCCUGGGGAAGGUGUCAUGGGUCUAGGAUCAUCUGGGGUCCGAGGGAAGGUGUCAUGGGCUCGGGGGAAGGUGUCGUGGGCCGGAGGGAAGGUGUCAUGGGUGCAGGAUCUGGGGUCUGGUAGAAGGUGUCAUAGGUCCGAGGGAAGGUGUCAUGGGUCCAGGAUCUGGGGUCCGGGGAAGGAUGUCAUGGUCCCGGUAGAAGGCAUCAUGGUCCUAAGGGAAGGUGUCAUGGGUCUGGGAUCAUCUGGGGUCCGAGGGAAGGUGUCAUAGAUCUGGGGAAAGGUGUCAUGGGCCCGGGGAAGGUGUCACGGACCCAGGUCUGGUGGCAGGUGCUGCUGGGCUGCUCUUGGGACCCUGUCUCGAGCGUGCACAGAUGACAGGUCCUUAUAGG